rnacentral:rRNA from 1 species
CCUACGGGUGGCAGCAGUGGGGAAUAUUGGGCAAUGGGCGCAUGCCUGACCCAGCAACGCCGCGUGAAGGAAGAAGGCUUUCGGGUUGUAAACUUCUUUUCUCAGGGACGAAGAAAGUGACGGUACCUGAGGAAUAAGCCACGGCUAACUACGUGCCAGCAGCCGCGGUAAUACGUAGGUGGCAAGCGUUAUCCGGAUUUACUGGGUGUAAAGGGCGUGUAGGCGGGACUGCAAGUCAGAUGUGAAAACCACGGGCUCAACCUGUGGCCUGCAUUUGAAACUGUUUUUCUUGAGUGCUGGAGAGGCAAUCGGAAUUCCGUGUGUAGCGGUGAAAUGCGUAGAUAUACGGAGGAACACCAGUGGCGAAGGCGGAUUGCUGGACAGUAACUGACGCUGAGGCGCGAAAGCGUGGGGAGCAAACAGGAUUAGAUACCCGAGUAGUC